CGAAACAAAGUGAAUGAAGUGACACAGUUUAUCAUAGGAGCAAGACGUUAUUUCAUUACUGGCGUUCUACAUAGUAAAAAUAAGUCCAUCAGUGAUGGAAGAGUCAAUAUACCUAGUCACUACUGGACAGCUGUAUGCUGCGAUUCCUCAGGUGCGAAGGGCGACCUCCGUAAAGAAGGAUGGUCCGCGGGAUUUAUAGGUGAAAACAAAGCCGAUUCCUCAGUUUUUAUUUACACAAUACAGAAUUUUUUACAAACCACCUCAUCUACACUUUUUGCAGAUUUUACAGAUCAAAAUGGAAACACAGUGAAAAACUGCCUGUUCAACCCGACCAAAGCGGACAACAUUAUUAACGAGAUUGCUAAUACCGACAAUCGCUUUAUCAAAGGGAAAACCUCAAUGUUUAGGCGUGUGUGUAAACUUAUUUACGAUGGAGUUUGUUACAUUCUAGGUUUGUUCGGAUAAAUCUGUCCAAUUAUGGAUGUUCGCUGCUCUGUUUCAAAAUAACAAGCUUUUUAAAAGACUGUUAUAAAUUGAUAGUAUAUAAAUAAAGUAAAGAUCUAAAAAAUAACAGAAAAAAAUGAAGGGUCCAUGUGCUUGUUUUCGAGAUAUUAGCCAUAUUAAACUAUAUGUACUAGUAAUAAAAUUAUAAAAAGAAAAGUAGGGAUUGCGUGGGAAAUUUGUUAAUGGCACUACAUGAAUAAGACCAGAGGAUUCAAAGUAUCUGGCAAAAAUUCAGGAAUAAAAGAACCGAACAACCUUAUAUCAAUAUAUUACCAUGUACUUUUAGAUAUAGUUAUGUACUUUUGUUGUAUACUUAAUAAUAUUCAAGAUACACGUUUUAUAUAUUCCUUGUAGUUGCAUUAUUAAAUAAGCUAUUGUUUUG